rnacentral:rRNA from 1 species
UAGGGAAUCUUCGGCAAUGGGGGCAACCCUGACCGAGCAACGCCGCGUGAGUGAAGAAGGUUUUCGGAUCGUAAAGCUCUGUUGUAAGUCAAGAACGGGUGAGAGAGUGGAAAGUUCACACUGUGACGGUAGCUUACCAGAAAGGGACGGCUAACUACGUGCCAGCAGCCGCGGUAAUACGUAGGUCCCGAGCGUUGUCCGGAUUUAUUGGGCGUAAAGCGAGCGCAGGCGGUUUGAUAAGUCUGAAGUUAAAGGCUGUGGCUCAACCAUAGUUCGCUUUGGAAACUGUCAAACUUGAGUGCAGAAGGGGAGAGUGGAAUUCCAUGUGUAGCGGUGAAAUGCGUAGAUAUAUGGAGGAACACCGGUGGCGAAAGCGGCUCUCUGGUCUGUAACUGACGCUGAGGCUCGAAAGCGUGGGGAGCGAACAGG